GACGAACGCUGGCGGCGUGCCUAAUACAUGCAAGUUGAGCGCUGAAGGUUGGUACUUGUACCAACUGGAUGAGCAGCGAACGGGUGAGUAACGCGUGGGGAAUCUGCCUUUGAGCGGGGGACAACAUUUGGAAACGAAUGCUAAUACCGCAUAAAAACUUUAAACACAAGUUUUAAGUUUGAAAGAUGCAAUUGCAUCACUCAAAGAUGAUCCCGCGUUGUAUUAGCUAGUUGGUGAGGUAAAGGCUCACCAAGGCGAUGAUACAUAGCCGACCUGAGAGGGUGAUCGGACAAAUUGGGACUGAGACAAGGCCCAAACGCCUACGGGAGGCAGCAGUAGGGAAUCUUCGGAAAUGGACGAAAGUCUGACCGAGCAACGCCGCGUGAGUGAAGAAGGUUUUCGGAUCGUAAAACACUGUUGGUAGAGAAGAACGUUGGUGAGAGUGGAAAGCGCAUCAAGUGACGGUAACUACCCAGAAAGGGACGGCUAACUACGUG
rnacentral:rRNA from 1 species